rnacentral:tRNA from 1 species
GAGCCUGUAGCUCAGUUGGCCAGAGCGCUUCGUUGACAUCGAAGAGGUCACCCGUUCAAGUCGGGUCAGGCUCACCA